UGUUUUCUCUGAUUCUAAAAUGUGGGGGCUUCUCCCUCACUCAUUUCCCAGGUUAAUGGCUAUAAUUGGAGCCAACUGUGGUUAAGACUACCUUGGGACAGGGACUUUAAGGAAUAUUCCCAAGC